GGAAUAUUUAAACGACUCUGGUGAAAAAAGAAAAUUCAUGAACCUAAGCACAUGUGAACUUAUUACGAACACAAUUGCUCAAUUUUUUCUGUAGAAGAUAAAGUCGAGAUAAGAUCCGAGAUGAAAGAAAUUAAAAUGGGAGAUGCUUGAUACGGCUUGUUGAGGCUUCGAAGGCAAAACACGACGCGUUGAAAUAUACGAAAUAUACGUAUUGUUUUUCGACAAAAUCAUAUUUCUUCUCUGUCACGAUUCGCGAUUUAAACGAUUUUUCUUUUCCCUCGAGAGAGAAAGAGAAAAAUAGAGAUGACGUAUACGUGCAUUUGGUAUAACGUUUUAUACGGUUAUAUAUAAUGUAAUAACAUAAAACGCAAAAGAAUAUUUAACGCGAGUAAUUCUCGUCGUAAUUGUAAAUAGUGUUAACGGUUUUCUAAAUUGUUUCGUAACCGUGACGGGUUGUUAAAAUUAUAAAGAAAAAAAAAAAAAAAACUAAGGAAAAAAGAAGAAAAACUAAGAAAAUUGUGGAUGACGAUCGUAAUGUUACUCAAUGUUAUUUAUUUCAUGGUAAGAAAAGUGUGUAAAGUCGGUGUGUAAAAUAAAGUUAUUUCGAAUCACGA